AAUAACCAAAGAUAACUGCGGGGUUGAGGGUGGGGUUAGAGAUGACGCGAACGUCUCCACCACCAGGAGCCCAGGUGUCGUACAAACCGCCAAAGAACAUGGCUUUCAGUACCAGCAACAAGGCUCCACAUCCCAAAAUAAUCAGGUGGAAACCAAUGAUGCUGGUCAUUUUGUUCUUAUCUUUCCA
rnacentral:antisense_RNA from 1 species